GGUCAGUGUACCAUUUUAGGGGUCCAAAAAUUUUUCGGACAUACCAAAAUUUUUUGGAACAUCAAACAAAUUUUCCCCAAAAUCGCAAGAUUUACAUAAUUUCCCGCAAAAUUGCCAGAAUUUGUCCCAUUUAUUUUUAUGAUAACCCAAUAUUGCCCGACUGUGAAGCGAAUAUUGCCCAACUGGCUUUGUUUGCCCAACAAACUGGGGUUAUUA